rnacentral:lncRNA from 1 species
CCUGCGCGCGGAGUCGGAGACUCGGAUCGCGCUCCACCAGCCGCCUCUCGCAGCUCUCAUUUGAGCGCGCGGCUUGCGACACACACACACACACACACACACACUUUCUCUCUCUCCUCUUUUCUCCUACAUUCGGACUCAAACAGAAAGAGGAUUUACCAGCAACGGAGGAGCGAAAUGCGAAGGGCUUUGGACUGCAAGGUCAAUGAGGACAAACAAUUCCAGCAGCGGCUCUCCAGCGCAUGCAGAAGAAAGUGUGGGGCGAGGGGGGGGGGAUGGACUCGUGCGCUGGCAGAGCUGGUGUCUCCGAGCGCUGGCAUAAUUUCCAUGGCAACCCCUCUAACUAUUAAUUUUCAAUUAAAGCAGACACAAAACGCCCUGCCCCGAGCUUGAGGAAGGUGUCAAGAGCGCAGAGCAGGAAACUGGGCCUUUCUGGAGCCACUCAGAGCCACUGGGCUCUUUCAUAGUGACAAAAAUCACACUGUAUUUAUUUCACCAAAUCACACCAGUGAUACACUCACAUCCCAACUGAACACAAGCAUGCUAAAAAUUAGCCAUGUUAGAAUUUUUGGGGGGAUUAUAGCCACGUUUAUGUCCCUUGGUGGUUUAGCAGAGGUGUUACCUCCCCCUUGUGUCGGCUUAAAAUCUGACAGGAUACUCAGCUGUCAAUAAAAACCUGUUUUGAGC